UGCACAAUAUAGACCCCCACAUUUAUAUAUAUAGUGGUAUUCAAGGAUGACUCUUCCGCAAGGCAAUAUGAGGUUUGGGGUGAAGAGACACAACCUUCUUGGUUUUCUUGUACUUACCACCCUGUUUCUUGCUUGGAGCUUGUUUUUCACAGGUGAGAAGUUAGGGAGGUCAAUACAUGCAAGCGAUGGGAACGAAUUAUCUGGGGCCGUCACUGUAAAACGAAUGAAAGUCAAACCAUUUGACUUGGCAAAACUAAUGCAACAGCGACCCCCUGAGCCACCACCCCCGCCUCCACAGGCACCCCCGGGACCAAAACCCUAAUAUAAUAAGGAAUUCCCUGUAUUUUUCGCAUGCACAGUUGCACUAGAAAUAUUGUGAAGCAGCUGAUGACACUGUCGAUAUUUUUACGUACUCGGGAAAACAUAUAUGUGUGAAUCUUCAUUUAGAAAUUAAAACAUAGUCAUCAAUCGACCAUGAAUUAGAAUAAUUGGACCACCUUGAGACUCAUGCGGCCUUUCAGCUUUCAUCAUAUAUAUAUUGACAAUCUUCUCUGUGAAUUUAUGCAAUUGAUCCUUCAGUACAAUCUUCUCAA